rnacentral:rRNA from 1 species
UACAGAGGUCCCGAGCGUUGUUCGGAUUCACUGGGCGUAAAGGGCGCGUAGGUGGCUUGGCAAGUUUGGCGUGAAAUCUCCGGGCUUAACCCGGAAAUGGCGUUGAAUACUGUUUGAGCUGGAGGUUUGGAGGGGGGACUGGAAUUCUUGGUGUAGCAGUGAAAUGCGUAGAUAUCAAAGAGGGAACACCAGUGGGCGAAAGGCGGGUCUCUGGGGCCGAUACUGACGUGAGGGAGCGAAAAGCGUGGGGGAGCGAACAGG